GAUUAUUUCCAAGCCAGGUUAACAAAAUCCAGUAAGCUUUUCCUUUCCUCGUUUGUGGCGGGAAGGAGAGAGUGAGAGAGAGAUGGAGUUGUGUAGGUGAUUGGAGACGCAAAGAGAAGGCAUAAAAUGGGAUUGGAAGUUCCUCUUCCCAAAUGGGCGUCCGAUCCUUGCAUCAUGGGCAUCGACGAAGCUGGUCGCGGCCCUGUUUUAGGACCCAUGGUGUAUGGUUGAUUGUACUGUGCACUUUCAUACCAAAAGACUCUAUCCUCAUUGAACUUUGCAGGAAUCUUGCACUCUUGGACUUUAGUAUGAAAGGAGGAAUCAAGUCUUAGACUCACACUUCAAAAACACUGAAAGAAGAAAAGAGGGAGGAAUUAUUUGAAAAUUUGAAGGCUGAUGAAUCUAGGGGUGUUCGCGGAUCGGUUUUGUGCGGUUUGCGGUUCGGUUUUGACCCGCCCGCAUGUAUGCGGUUUGGGAAAAAGUCAAACCGCAACCACCCGCAGUGCAGUUUGCGGUUUGUGCGGAUAGGAUUUGCGGAUGUGCGGGUGGUUGCGGACGGUUUGCAGUUUGGAUUGUUUCCUUUAAAACUUAAUUUUUGAGUUUUUUUUUUUUCCCAUUUUGUAAAUAUUUAUUUGGGUCAUUUUCUUCCAAUUUUCUAAAAUGCUCAAACAUUAAUAAUUAAUGAAUUAAAACUUAUAAAAUUAAAAACACAACAAAAUCAAUUCCUAACACAAACAAAUCAUUCAAAAUCAUUCGAUAUGCUCCAACAUUAAUUGUGUACUUGGCCCUCUGGGAUUUAUUUUAGUAAAGAAAAAUGAAUAUCAUUUAAAAAAUAAAUAAAUAAAUAUGAACUUCCUUCAAACAGUAUUCUCACUAAUUUAUUUAGUGAAAAAAUCUUUUCUAUAACCACCAUGGGGAAACCAUUAGACAGUCCCACAAAUUGUAUAUCAAUGCAUUAAAGGUUGUACUCAAUUAGAAUUGUCAGUUCAGUGAUCAAUAAUCAAACUAGAAGUUUCAUUGAACACCAAAAGAAAAAUUUUAUUAGGAAAAAGUGGAUGAGUCACCAAUGAAAAUCAUAUAAGAAACUAAGUUUAGGAUUUGAUAAUUUUACGACAUUAAGAAAGUUGAGAAAUACUUAAAAAUAAGGAUCGUAGUGUCAUAGAGAACAUAAUGGUGCUCCUGUUAAAGUUACAAAGUUGGUAUAUAAAAAAAAAAAAUAAUAAUA